AAUGUAGAUGUACUGUAGCAGACGACGUGUGCCAUAGUAUGGGAUAGUCUACUACUCUGAGGCGCACUGAAUUACUCCAAGGUUCACUGCUCUCCAAUUUGGAGACACACUCAUAGCCACAAAAUAACAGUCACUAAAUAUUAGUCAAAAGAUACAUUGUAGAGGUUUGUCUAAAACUACAGAGGUAACUAGCUAUCAGCCAAUGGACUUGGCGUGCCUACAAACAGCAUCACAGUUGGCACUGAUCAAAACAAGCUAGCUCGCUAAGUUAUAUAAUGCAGCGAUAUAUUUUGUGACAUUGUGCCGCAUUGUGCACUCGGAUGGCAGUGGUCGGAAACACAGUGGACAGACAUCGAGAUAAAUUGAACCAAAAACAGCAGGUGGGAUGGUCCUCCCUAAACCAAUAGCCUGGGUGUCAUCCACACCGACCUCAAGCCCGACAGCAUCAUGCUCGUGGAUCCCACACGCCCGCAUAAGGUUAUCGACUUUGCGGUUUAGCCUGCCAUGUGUCCGAAGCUGUGUCUUCGAUUUACCUGCAAUCUCAAACUCCCAUCGAUUCGCUACCUAUCCCAGACUCAGGGCUUUCCGGGGGAGUAGCUGCUGAGUACGAGUACACAAAGACCAGGCCCUUCGACAGAAGGCCUGGCUCUAGCUAGCCUCUCUGGAGACUAAAGGCA